rnacentral:rRNA from 1 species
UAAACCAUAAUAACUUUUUACAAAUUAUUCGCCCGGGGACUACAAGCACCAGCUUAAAACCCAAAGGACUUGGCGGUGCUUUAGACCCACCUAGAGGAGCCUGUUCUAUAACUGAUAACCCCCGUUCAACCUCACCCUCUCUUGUCAACCCCGUCUAUAUACCGCCGUCGUCAGCUUACCCCAUGAGGGUCUUAUAGUAAGCAAGAUUAGUAAAACCCAAAACGUCAGGUCGAGGUGUAGCAAAUGAGAGGGGAAGUAAUGGGCUACAUUCCUUCCCACAAGGAAUACGAACAAUACAUUGAAAACAUGUACUAGAAGGAGGAUUUAGCAGUAAGUAGAAAAUAGAGCGUUCUACUGAAAUUGGCCCUGAAGCGCGCACACACCGCCCGUCACUCUCCCCAAAAUUUUUAAAAAAAAAUAAAUAAAUAAUAACUAACCAAAAAUAAAGGGGAGACAAGUCGUAACAUGGUAAGUGUACCGGAAGGUGCACUUGGAAAAAC